AAACUUAAGGGUUUGAUUCUGGCUCAGGACGAACGCUGGCGGCGUGCUUAACACAUGCAAG
rnacentral:rRNA from 1 species